AGAUUAAGUUAUUAAGGGCGCACGGUGGAUGCCUUGGCACUAGAAGCCGAUGAAGGACGUUACUAACGACGAUAUGCUUUGGGGAGCUGUAAGUAAGCGUUGAUCCAGAGAUUUCCGAAUGGGGAAACCCAGCAUGAGUUAUGUCAUGUUAUCGAUAUGUGAAUACAUAGCAUAUCAGAAGGCAGACCCGGAGAACUGAAACAUCUUAGUACCCGGAGGAAGAGAAAGAAAAAUCGAUUCCCUGAGUAGCGGCGAGCGAAACGGGAAGAGCCCAAACCAACAAGCUUGCUUGUUGGGGUUGUAGGACACUCUAUACGGAGUUACAAAAGUAUAUAUUAGACGAAUCAUCUGGAAAGUUGAAUCAAAGAAGGUAAUAAUCCU
rnacentral:rRNA from 1 species